rnacentral:rRNA from 1 species
AACGAACGCUGGCGGCGUACUUAACACAUGCAAGUCGAACGAGGAUCAUCGGGUUAGCAAUAAUUCGGUGGUCCUAGUGGCGCACGGGUGAGUAACACGUGGGUGACCUGCCCUUGAGCUCGGGAUACCCCCUCGAAAGGGGGCGUAUACCGGAUACGUUCCUCGGUCGAAAGACUGAGGAGGAAAGGUGGCGCAAGCUGCCGCUCUUGGAGGGGCUCGCGGCCUAUCAGCUAGUUGGCGGGGAACGGCCCACCAAGGCUAUGACGGGUAGCUGGUCUGAGAGGACGACCAGCCACACGGGGACUGAGACACGGCCCCGACUCCUACGGGAGGCAGC